rnacentral:snRNA from 1 species
GGAUGUGAGGGCGAUCUGGCUACAUCUUUCACCCCAUUGACCCCCAGGGUUGAUUAGGCUGAUCUGGCUGGCUAAGCGGGUGUCCCCUUCCUCCCUCACUGCUCCAUGUGCAUCCAUCAGGAAGCUGCGUGCUUGGUGAAAGGGGAGGACUACCUCACGGAGGAGGAGCGUCUCCUUGGUCAAGGGCAUACAGUAGCUGCGGUCCCCUAAUAGAACUUCCGAACAAGCGCUCAAGGUGAUAUUCACCACUUUAAUAUUGAAAUCAAUGCUGCAAUAAAGAUAUCGCUACAUGGCUUCUUUUAUCCUUCACU